AAGUAUUACAGCUCUUUUAGAAUUUGUGUAGCAGGCUUUCUGGUUUUUAUUUGCUGGAAAGCUCCC
ensembl:snRNA U7 U7 small nuclear RNA